rnacentral:rRNA from 1 species
AAUCUGGUUGAUCCUGCCAGUAGUCAUAUGCUUGUCUCAAAGAUUAAUCCAUGCAUGUGUAAGUAUAAGUAUUGUACAGCGAAACUGCGAAUGGCUCAUUAAAUCAGUUAUAAUUUAUUUGAUAAUCGAAAGUUACAUGGAUAACCGUGACAAAUUACAGCUAAUACAUGCAGUCAGACCUGGUCCAAGGGUCGUAAUUAUUAGUAUUAAACCAUUUCCGCAAGGAAUGUGAUGAAUCAUAAUAAUCGAACGAAUCGCCUGGUGUGCGAUAAAUCAUUCAAGUUUCUGCCCUAUCAGCUUUGGAUGGUAGUGUAUUGGACUACCAUGGCAGUCACGGGUAACGGAGAAUUAGGGUUCGAUUCCGGAGAGGGAGCCUGAGAAACGGCUACCACAUCUACGGAAGGCAGCAGGAGCGAAAAUUGCCCAAUCCUGACACAGGGAGGCAGUGACAAGAAAUAUCAACUCUUGGAUUUCUAAGAAGUGAAAUGAGGAUAAUUUACAACCCUUACCGAAAGCAAUUGGAGGGCAAGUCUGGUGCCAGCAGCCGCGGUAAUUCCAGCUCCAAUAGCGUAUAUUAAAGUUGUUGCAGUUAAAAAGCUCGUAGUUGAAGUUCUGGCUGUUUGAUCCUCGAGCUCUGUAGCCGAGGACUCGACAGUCAUCCGCUUGCAAAUAUAUGUUCGCCUUUCAUCGGGUGGCUAUAUGAGCAAGCAUUUUACCUUGAGAAAAACAGAGUGUUCCAGGCAGGUUUGUCCGGAAUGCAUUAGCAUGGAAUAAUAGAAUAUGACUGAAGUCAAUUUAUUGGUUUAGGGCUUUAGUAAUGAUUAAUAGGAACAGUCGGGGGCAUUGGUACUUGACAGUCAGAGGUGAAAUUCUAGGAUUUGUCAAAGACUAACAAAUGCGAAAGCAUUUGCCAAGGAUGUUUUCAUUAAUCAAGAACGAAAGUUAGGGGAUCAAAGACGAUCAGAUACCGUCCUAGUCUUAACUAUAAACUAUACCGACUCGGAUUCGGAUGAAUCAAAAAGUUCAUUCGGGACCGUAGGAGAAAUCAAAGUUUUUGGGUUCUGGGGGAAGUAUGGUCGCAAGGCUGAAACUUAAAGGAAUUGACGGUUUUGCACCACCAUGGAGUGGAGUCUGCGGCUUAAUUUGACAACACUGGGAAACUCAUCAGGGCAAGAAGAUUUUAGGAUUGACAGAUUGAGAGUUCUUUCUUGAUUGGUCUAGUGGUGGUGCAUGGCCGUUCUUAGUUGGUGGAGUGAUUUGUCUGGUUAAUUCCGUUAACGAACGAGACCUUAACCUGCUAACUAGUACUUCGAUGACAAAUCGAUGUUACUUCUUAGAGGGACUAUGUGAUGUAAUCACAUGGAAGUUUGAGGCAAUAACAGGUCUGUGAUGCCCUUAGAUGUCCUGAGCUGCACGCGUACUACAAUGGUGCUUUCAACGAGCUUUUCCUGAUCCGAAAGGAUUUGGGUAAUCUUUUUAGUGAGCACCGUGCUUGGGAUAGAUCUUUGUAAUUAUGGAUCUUGAACUAGGAAUUCCUAGUAAGCGCUGGUCAUCAGCCAGUGCUGAUUACGUCCCUGCAAAAUGUACACACCGCCCGUCGCUAUUACCGAUUGAGUGCUAAGGUGAACCUUCUCGAUAGUGUAAACUAAAAAUUAAGUAAACCUUAGUACUUAGAGGAAAUAAAAGUCGUAACAAGGUUUCCGUAGGUGAACCUGCGGAAGGAUC